rnacentral:rRNA from 1 species
AUUGAACGCUGGCGGCAGGCCUAACACAUGCAAGUCGAGCGGAUGAAGGGAGCUUGCUCCUGGAUUCAGCGGCGGACGGGUGAGUAAUGCCUAGGAAUCUGCCUGGUAGUGGGGGAUAACGUCCGGAAACGGGCGCUAAUACCGCAUACGUCCUGAGGGAGAAAGUGGGGGAUCUUCGGACCUCACGCUAUCAGAUGAGCCUAGGUCGGAUUAGCUAGUUGGUGGGGUAAAGGCCUACCAAGGCGACGAUCCGUAACUGGUCUGAGAGGAUGAUCAGUCACACUGGAACUGAGACACGGUCCAGACUCCUACGGGAGGCAGCAGUGGGGAAUAUUGGACAAUGGGCGAAAGCCUGAUCCAGCCAUGCCGCGUGUGUGAAGAAGGUCUUCGGAUUGUAAAGCACUUUAAGUUGGGAGGAAGGGCAGUAAGUGAAUACCUUGCCGUUUUGACGUUACCAACAGAAUAAGCACCGGCUAACUUCGUG